rnacentral:hammerhead_ribozyme from 1 species
AUCCAACUGACGAGUUCCAAAUAAGACGAAACGCGCGUCCUGGAU